AACGAACGCUGGCGGCAGGCUUAAUACAUGCAAGUCGAGCGGGCCCUUCGGGGUCAGCGGCGCACGGGUGCGUAACGCGUGGGAACAUGCCCUUAGGUACGGAACAGCGUCGGGAAACUGACGCUAAUACCGUAUAAUAUCUCCGGAUCAAAGAUUUAUCGCCUAAGGAUUGGCCCGCGUUAGAUUAGGUAGUUGGUGGGGUAAUGGCCUACCAAGCCGACGAUCUAUAGGGGGUCUGAGAGGAUGAGCCCCCACACUGGAACUGAGACACGGUCCAGACUCCUACGGGAGGCAGCAGUAAGGAAUAUUGGACAAUGGGCGAAAGCCUGAUCCAGCCAUGCCGCGUGAGUGAUGAAGGCCUUAGGGUUGUAAAGCUCUUUUAGAUGGGAAGAUAAUGACUGUACCAUCAGAAUAAGCCCCGGCUAAAUUCGUGCCAGCCGCCGCCGUAA
rnacentral:rRNA from 1 species